CGCCAUGUCACCCACAGGGACCAUGUUGUCCACUAGGUGGGCUUGGUCUGCAUAUUGUCACGCUGCUGCCUGAACUUGACCAUGAUCCUCAGGAGUGAAGGUGGAGGCCUGGAUGACAUAAAGAUCAUGUCAGCUCAUUGCCUGCAUUGACACCUGCAGAGCCCCCUCAGGCUGUGGUGGUGAAUUUCAUUGUCAAUUCGACCUGUCUGGGAGGAUUAGACCUGGCUCAGCUGAGGGAAGACCCACCCUGCAUGUGGGCGGCACCACGUCAUAAACUGGAGGCUGAGGCCAAAUAAAAUGGAGGAAAACGAGAAAACCUACAGACCACCAAAAUCCAUCUCUCUGCUUCCUAUUCCCCCAAGAUCCAAGGAGACAAGAAGCCCCAGUUGCAUGCCCCACCAUCACCACAAAGCCACCUUCGUGUCCUCAGCACCACUGUGGACUGUGUCUGCCCAAACAAGCCUCUGCUUUGGACCCAGGAAUGGUAGGAGAACAAAGAUGCCCCCAGAUGAGGUGUGCAUACCAGAAAGCAAAGAGAUGUGAACUCCCUUCCCGGACCAACUAAGAAAGGAAGAUUCCCCAACCUCACUUCCCAUAAUCCUGAAACAAAAUAGGAGAUGAGGAAGUGCCAGACAUACAAAGAGGGAGAACCAACUCUGCUCUAAAGAAAAAGACAUUCACAGCAGUAUGCUAAUGCACCUAAUUGUCAUAGUCAUAAUGCAACAAACAAUUACAUCAAUAGACCAUACCAAUUACAGGGAUAAUAUCUGUUGACUAUGCAUACUGCAUGUGACAUACAAAUCUAUCUGGCACAGGUACAGAUGGCUGCAGUGGUCUGAAUGAGAAUGUACUGUGUAGGCUUGGGAUUUGAACACUUGAUCCCAGUUGGAGGCUCCUUUGGGGGAGGUUUAGGAGGUGUGA